UACGUAGGUGGCAAGCGUUGUCCGGAAUUACUGGGCGUAAAGGGUGCGCAGGCGGACAUUUAAGUGAGAUGUGAAAUACCCGGGCUUAACCCGGGCAGUGCAUUUCAAACUGGGUGUCUGGAGUGCAGGAGAGGAGAACGGAAUUCCUAGUGUAGCGGUGAAAUGCGUAGAGAUUAGGAAGAACACCAGUGGCGAAGGCGGUUCUCUGGACUGUAACUGACGCUGAGGCACGAAAGCGUGGGUAGCAAAC
rnacentral:rRNA from 1 species